rnacentral:rRNA from 1 species
GACGUAGGGUGCGAGCGUUGUCCGGAAUUACUGGGCGUAAAGAGCUCGUAGGUGGUUUGUCGCGUUGUUCGUGAAAACUCACAGCUCAACUGUGGGCGUGCGGGCGAUACGGGCAGACUAGAGGCAUGCAGGGGAGAACGGAAUUCCUGGUGUAGCGGUGAAAUGCGCAGAUAUCAGGAGGAACACCAGUGGCGAAGGCGUCUCGUGG